rnacentral:rRNA from 1 species
UACGUAGGGUGCGAGCGUUAAUCGGAAUUACUGGGCGUAAAGCGUGCGCAGGCGGUUUUGUAAGCCAGAUGUGAAAUCCCCGGGCUUAACCUGGGAAUGGCAUUUGGGACUGCAAGGCUGGAGUGUGGCAGAGGAGACUGGAAUUCCCGGUGUAGCAGUGAAAUGCGUAGAUAUCGGGAGGAAUACCGAUGGCGAAGGGAGGUCUCUGGGCUGACACUGACGCUCAUGCACGAAAGCGUGGGGAGCAAACAGG